UCACUCUGGGUAUAUGAGCUAGAGGGUUGUAAGCAAGAGAUAAGAAGUGAUUCUUCCGCCCUACUCCGCGCUGAUUAGGCCUCAACUGGAGUCUUGUGUCCAGUUCUGGGCACCACUUUUCAGGAAAGAUGUGGCCCAAUUGCAGAGAG